GAUGAACGCUGGCGGCGUGCCUAAUACAUGCAAGUCGAGCGAACUUUUGGGAGCUUGCUCCCAAAAGUUAGCGGCGGACGGGUGAGUCACACGUGGGUAACCUGCCUGUAAGACUGGGAUAACUUCGGGAAACCGGAGCUAAUACCGGAUAACAUUGAAGACUACAUGGCCUUCAAUUAAAAGGUGGCUUUUAGCUACCACUUCCAGAUGGACCCGCGGCGCAUUAGCUAGUUGGUGGGGUAACGGCGCACCAAGGCGACGAUGCGUAGCCGACCUGGGAGGGUGGUCGGCCACACUGGGACUGGGACAGGGCCCAGACGCCUGCGGGAGGCAGCAGUAGCGUAUCUUCCGCAAUGGACGAAAGUCUGACGGAGCAACGCCGCGUGAGCGGAGGAGGCCUUCGGGUCGUAAUGCUCGGUUGUUAGUGGAGAACAAGUAUCGUUCGAAUAGGGCGUUACCUUGACGGUACCUAACCAGAAAGCCACGGCUAACUACGUG
rnacentral:rRNA from 1 species